rnacentral:misc_RNA from 1 species
UUCUUGUAAGAUCAUCAGCAAGAAUGGCCUGAUCAAUUAACUCUUGUUGCUGCUGCUGUUGUUGUAGCUUCCAUAGUACUGCCUGGCUUGAUCCUGUCUGCCCAAUUUGUUCCUUUUCCUCUAAUUUCCCAAGAAAGAUCUCAAGAUUUCACAUUUGCACUCUUUUAAUUUCUUCAACCCCCUUUUGAUUUUACAAAAGUGGGAUCUAUCUGAUUAUAUUGAUCCCCAUCUACAGAACAAAAAGGAAAACUUUGAUUUAUAUAGACAGAGAAAGGCAUCAGGG